UACGUAGGGGGCAAGCGUUGUCCGGAUUUAUUGGGCGUAAAGAGCUCGUAGGCGGCUUGUCGCGUCGACUGUGAAAGCCCGCGGCUCAACCGCGGGUCUGCAGUCGAUACGGGCAGGCUAGAGUUCGGUAGGGGGAGACUGGAAUUCCUGGUGUAGCGGUGGAAUGCGCAGAUAUCAGGAGGAACACCGGUGGCGAAGGCGGGUCUCUGGGCAGUAACUGACGCUGAGGAGCGAAAGCCAGGGGAGCAAACGGG
rnacentral:rRNA from 1 species